GCCCACUCUAGCUCAGAGUGUUUAUGUCGUUCUAAGAAGAAGACGCAAGUUUUGGCUUGCUACCAAGGUUUUUCAUUGUGUUUACUAGGAAGAUUGUGCAUGCAUCCAAGAAAAAUCACAAGUCCAUUUCUAACUGUAACCACAAAGAUACUUCAAUGAUGUGUGUGGGUUUGUGCAACUGUCUGGUGGUGACCUAAAGAAUAAAGCUCUGGAUAUGAAAACAUCUGCCUGCUUUCUGCCGGACUGCCUGGAGUGGGUCAGACCAAAGUACAGUCAGCAUUGUCAUUAGCUGGUGAGGGUUCAGAAGCCAACCGCUCAGAUGGCUCCAGAUGGCAGUGUUUACAUCCUGUUACUCGUUAACCUCUUACAUCUAGGCGUUCCGCUAGUGGAACCCCGUUCCGCCAGCGGAACCCCUAGCCAACAGCCAAUGGGAUCGCAUGGCGCGAAAUACAAAACCUCAAAAAUCCAAUAAUUUCAAUUUUUCAAACAUCCAUUUUACACCAUUUGAAAGAAACCUCUCCUGAAUCCAACCACGUUGCCCGAUUUCAAAAAGGCUUUACACCGAAAGCAAAACAUUAGAUUAUGUUAGGAGAGUACAUAGACCAAAAUAACCACACAGCCAUUUUCCAAGCAAGCAUAUAUGUCAAUAAAACCCAAAACAGCUUCCCUUAUCAGUUACCCUCCCCAGGACAUGUUGCCCUCCUGCUCCUCCCAUGCUGUAUCUUCCUCAGCUGGGGCAUGCAAAGCUCCCUGUUACCCAGAGGACCCCCAUGCACCUCCUCAAGACAGCUAUCACAUGGGUCGCCCACGUACCCCCCUACUGCCCCCUUAUAUCCUAAUGAGCCCCAGGUCUACCCCACAUAUGCAAUGCCACCCCCUUCACUCCAGGACGAGCAGCCCCCUCUGGCAGACCGGUACAGAGAGAAGGACUAGGACAGAGCGGGACAGGGACUCAGGAGUGAGGUAUGGUGCCAGUAGGAUCGGCUCUAGAAGGUCAUCUUACCAGGAGGCCAACUCUUCCUCAAAUGAUUCGCACCACUCGGAGUGAGAGUGAGGGGAGAGGGGCUACAGACGGGACAGCCUGGGCUCCAGAGAUCACUGCAGACAUCGUAACCACCACUCACACAACCGCAGCAGCAGAGCAGCCAUGACCGGGACAGCAGGAACAGAAACAGAGACUACUCCAACAGCUCCGAUCCCACCACACCCCUCUGCUUCCCCCACUGCACCCUCCCCUCCUGCAGCCUCUGUGAUAGCCCAGGACUGUGGCCAGGAUGGCCCGGCCAAGCCCAAACUCCAUGUGUAUCUAGGGCUGAGCGAUGUGGCCAAAAUAUCAUAUAACUGUAUUUUUGAUGGUAUGUUGGUUUUUGAUGUUUCUGAAUACUAAUAAAGUUAUAAAUAUGC